GGCCGACAUGGGCGCCGCCGCGUGGGCACCGCUGCUGAGCGUGUCUUUCCUGCUGCUGCUUCUGCCGCUCCCGGGGAUGCCCGCGGGCUCCUGGGACCCGGCCGGUUACCUGCUCUACUGCCCCUGCAUGGCUCCAUGUGUCCUACCAGAAGUACUUCAAGCUGGAGCCCCUCCAGGCUUACCAUCGGGUCAUCAGCUUGGAGGAUUUCAUGGAGAAGCUGGCACCCACCCACUGGCCCCCUGAGAAGCGGGUGGCAUACUGCUUUGAGGUGGCAGCCCAGCGAAGCCCAGAUAAGAAGACAUGCCCCAUGAAGGAAGGAAACCCCUUUGGCCCAUUCUGGGAUCAGUUUCAUGUGAGUUUCAACAAGUCGGAGCUUUUUACAGGCAUUUCCUUCAGUGCUUCCUACAGAGAACAAUGGAGCCAGAGAUUUUCUCCAAAGGAACAUCCGGUGCUUGCCCUGCCAGGAGCCCCGGCCCAGUUCCCUGUCCUGGAGGAACACAGGCCACUACAGAAGUACAUGGUAUGGUCAGACGAAAUGGUGAAGAUGGGAGAGGCCCAGAUUCACGCCUACCUUGUCCGGCCCUAUGUGGGCAUUCAUCUGCGCAUUGGCUCUGACUGGAAGAACGCCUGUGCCAUGCUGAAGGACGGGACUGCAGGCUCGCACUUCAUGGCCUCUCCGCAGUGUGUGGGCUACGGCCGCAGCACAGCGGCCCCCCUCACGAUGACUAUGUGCCUGCCUGACCUGAAGGAGAUCCAGAGGGCUGUGAAGCUCUGGGUGAGGUCACUGGAUGCCCAGUCGGUCUACGUUGCUACUGAUUCUGAGAGUUAUGUGCCUGAGCUCCAACAGCUCUUCAAAGGGAAGGUGAAGGUGGUGAGCCUGAAGCCUGAGGUGGCCCAGGUCGACCUGUACAUCCUCGGCCAAGCCGACCACUUUAUUGGCAACUGUGUCUCCUCCUUC
rnacentral:sRNA from 1 species